rnacentral:rRNA from 1 species
UACGUAGGGGGCAAGCGUUGUCCGGAAUCAUUGGGCGUAAAGCGCGUGUAGGCGGCUUCGUAAGUCCGUUGUGAAAGUCCAGGGCUCAACCCUGGAAUGCCGAUGGAUACUGCGGAGCUAGAGUCCGGAAGAGGCGAGUGGAAUUCCUGGUGUAGCGGUGAAAUGCGCAGAUAUCAGGAGGAACACCAAUGGCGAAGGCAGCUCGCUGGGACGGUACUGACGCUGAGACGCGAAAGCGUGGGAAGCAAACAGG